UACGGGUAGAAGUUAGAAAGAAUCUUAGAAUUGGCUGAGCUUUGUUCUACCACCCUAAUAGAAAAUGGGUUUUAAAAAAAGAGAUGUUCAGUUGCAGACAAAGAAAGCUGUUUCUUGUAUACUUGCAUUUGUAGACUAAGAUUCAGACGCACUACAUGUAAGAAAAUGGGAACAGUUAACAUUUAUUGAACACGCAUCAGGUAGUGUACCCAACAUCACUGUAAGUGCUUUAUGUGUAUUAAUUCAUUUAUAAAAGAGUCUAUGUUUGUGAACUUUGAUUUGACUUUUCCAGUACUGUUAUAUAAGAACAUUAGAAGUACUAUAGUAUAUUUUUGACAAGAAUAAUUUGUUUUAUUAUUCAGAGCCUGCUCAUUAAAAACAAACCCUUUUAUUAUGGAUAAAUUCUACCAUAUAGAAAAGUAGAGAGGGUAGUAUAAAGGAUCCCCAAGUAUCAAACCCUCGACCUUAAUAAUUAUUAACCAAGGACAAACCAAUCAUGUUUCAUAUUUUGAACCACAUCUUAGACAUUGUAUCAUUUUAUUUAUAUAGUCAGUGUGUAUCUCUGAAAAAUACAGCUGCAUUUCAUCAAAUAUCCCCAAUUGGCUCAUAGACUUUUUUAAACAUUUGUUUACUUAAACCAAGAUCCAGACAAGAUUCACACUUUGCAUUUGGUUCAUAUGUCUCUUACAUCUCUUCUAUUGUUUAGGUUUUCCUUUCUUCUGUUUAUUUUUUCCUUGCAUUUUAUUUGUUGGAAAAUCCACGUCCCAUCUGUCCUGUAGAUUUUUCUACAUUCUGGGUUUUCCAGAUCUCCAUCUGAUCAUUUAGCACGUUACCCUGACAACUGUGGGUUGCUGUAGUUAUUGCUAAUCUUUAGACUCAUUUUUUGUCCGUUGACUCCAUCCUUCCAGCCACACAUACCUACCGCAUAUUAGAGGCCUGACUAAAACACAAAACCACUAUAUAACAACUUUCGAUGGUAGGACCACAUCAUCUUUAUUUGCAAUGAUUCUAAAGCUUUCACCUGUGAAAUUUAAAUCUCACUUGUUCUAUUGAACAGGGAUUGCCCCCUUUCACUCUCACACCACAGUCUAAGCAGACAUUUAGUUAUAGAAGACUCACCACUGGUCUCAAAAAUCUGUAUUUGAACAAAGGUAAACAUUAUCACACGUAAAGCAUUCAUUUGUCUUGGCUUUUGUGUACUGCUCCUGUGUUUCUAAUUUCUUUUUGUUUACCAGACAAUGCCUGGUGCCCUGGGAUCUUCGAUAUGCUAAUCUGUUCCCCAGUCACUGUGGGAUUGAGGUCAUGCCUCAGGGAACAGGCUUUUAUCUGAUUGGACGUAUUGAGUGGCUGAUUUAUUUCCAUUCAGGCCGCUAUGGAGAAGAGGACAGUGGACUCUCCCCUGGGAGAAGUGUAAGCUCCACGAGAGAAGGGUCUUACCUGUCUCUUUUGUUGCUGUAUCCAUGAUGUCUAGGACAUUGUCUGCCACACGGUGUCCCUCUGGCUCACUGUAGACAGACGAUGAUUGGACUAGGCAUCGAAAUUUAUUGCACGGACUCCACUUUGGCUAUGGACUACAUUCUAAUCUGAAUAUGCUGCAGUCAUGUCUUCCAAGGUUUGUCUGGUGCCUACUUCCCCAGGUGUCUAUUCCACCUUAGGAGCUUAUUAGGGGUCUCUGCUCUUUUCGUUUAUCCUGCAUCCCUUUUUCUUCAGUAGCAGCACCAGCAUCCUAACUGCUCCUCCUGUAUUCCGAGUGAUGCUGCUGGGACUGCUACUUGUGGCAGCGUUGCCUUUGGCAGAGGAUUUCAGUAGGUGAUCCAGGCAACUCGAGUUGAUCACUGGAAAUAAAGAGGUUGAGGAAUGAAGAAGCCAUGAGACUGGGUGGACCUUUCAUGUAGGUAUUGGAAUCAACAAGUAUGAGAGCAGGAAACUGGAGGAGAGAGAGAAAGUAAACCUGAUGCUGAAAUCUCAGAGAGAUGCGUGGGAAUGGCUGGCUGGGAGGAGGAAAGAGCUGUGGCAAGGAGGGCUGGAGGGAGGGG